ACGGACGCUGGCGGCGUGCUUAACCCCUGCAAGUCGAACGGAAAGGCCCUGCUUUUGUGGGGUGCUCGAGUGGCGAACGGGUGAGUAACACGUGAGUAACCUGCCCUUGACUUUGGGAUAACUUCAGGAAACUGGGGCUAAUACCGGAUAGGAGCUCCUGCUGCAUGGUGGGGGUUGGAAAGUUUCGGCGGUUGGGGAUGGACUCGCGGGUUAUCAGCUUGUUGGUGGGGUAGUGGCUUACCAAGGCUUUGACGGGUAGCCGGCCUGAGAGGGUGACCGGCGUCAUUGGGACUGAGAUACGGCCCAGACUCCUACGGUAGGCAGCAGUGGGGAAUAUUGCACAAUGGGCGGAAGCCUGAGGCAGCAACGCCGCGUGCGGGAUGACGGCCUUCGGGUUGUAAACCGCUGUCGCCUGUGACGAAGCGUGAGUGACGGUAAUGGGUAAAGAAGCACCGGCUAACUACGUG
rnacentral:rRNA from 1 species